AUUACCGAGUUUACAACUCCCAAACCCCUGUGAACAUACCUUAAUGUUGCCUCGGCGGAUCAGCCCGCGCCCCGUAAAACGGGACGGCCCGCCAGAGGACCCAAACUCUAAUGUUUCUUAUUGUAACUUCUGAGUAAAACAAACAAAUAAAUCAAAACUUUCAACAACGGAUCUCUUGGUUCUGGCAUCGAUGAAGAACGCAGCAAAAUGCGAUAAGUAAUGUGAAUUGCAGAAUUCAGUGAAUCAUCGAAUCUUUGAACGCACAUUGCGCCCGCUGGUAUUCCGGCGGGCAUGCCUGUUCGAGCGUCAUUUCAACCCUCAAGCCCCCGGGUUUGGUGUUGGGGAUCGGCUCUGCCUUCUGGCGGUGCCGCCCCCGAAAUACAUUGGCGGUCUCGCUGCAGCCUCCAUUGCGUAGUAGCUAACACCUCGCAACUGGAACGCGGCGCGGCCAUGCCGUAAAACCCCAACUUCUGAAUGUUGACCUCGGAUCAGGUAGGAAUACCCGCUGAACUUAAGCAUAUCAA
rnacentral:rRNA from 1 species